rnacentral:lncRNA from 1 species
CCUCUCCCUCCUCUCCCUCUCCCUCUCCCCACGGUCUCCCUCUCCCUCUCUUUCCACGGUCUCCCUCUCCCUCUCUUUCCACAGUCUCCCUCUCAUGCUGAGCCGAAGCUGGACUGUACUGCUGCCAUCUCGGCUCACUGCAACCUCCCUGCCUGACUCUCCUGACUCAGCCUGCCGAGUGCCUGCGAUUGCAGACUCGCGCCGCCACGCCUGACUGGUUUUGGUGGAGACGGGGUUUCGCUGUGUUGGCCAGGCCGGUCUCCAGCCCCUAACCGCACGUGAUCCACCAGCCUCGGCCUCCUGAGGUGCCGGGAUUGCAGAUGGAGUCUCCUUCACUCAGUGCUCAAUGGUGCCCAGGCUGGAGUGCAGUAGCGUGAUCUCGGCCCGCUACAACCUCCACCUCCCAGCCGCCUGCCUUGGCCUCC